rnacentral:rRNA from 1 species
GUACGGCGAGUGAGCGGCACAGCUCAAUUUGAAAUCUGGCCCCCAGGGCCCGAGUUGUAAUUUGCAGAGGAUGCUUUUGGCGCGGUGCCUUCCGAGUUCCCUGGAACGGGACGCCAUAGAGGGUGAGAGCCCCGUCUGGUCGGACGCCUAGCCUGUGUAAAGCUCCUUCGACGAGUCGAGUAGUUUGGGAAUGCUGCUCUAAAUGGGAGGUAUAUGUCUUCUAAAGCUAAAUACCGGCCAGAGACCGAUAGCGCACAAGUAGAGUGAUCGAAAGAUGAAAAGCACUUUGAAAAGAGGGUUAAAUAGUACGUGAAAUUGUUGAAAGGGAAGCGCUUGUGACCAGACUUGGGCCCGGUGGAUCAUCCAGCGUUCUCGCUGGUGCACUCCGCCGGGUUCAGGCCAGCAUCAGUUCGCCGCGGGGGAAAAAGGCUUCGGGAACGUGGCUCCUACGGGAGUGUUAUAGCCCGUUGCAUAAUACCCUGGGGCGGACUGAGGUUCGCGCUCCGCAAGGAUGCUGGCGUAAU